UACGUAGGGUGCAAGCGUUGUUCGGAAUUACUGGGCGUAAAGGGCUCGUAGGCGGCCAACUAAGUCAGACGUGAAAUCCCUCGGCUUAACCGGGGAACUGCGUCUGAUACUGGAUGGCUCGAGUUUGGGAGAGGGAUGCGGAAUUCCAGGUGUAGCGGUGAAAUGCGUAGAUAUCUGGAGGAACACCGGUGGCGAAGGCGGCAUCCUGGACCAACACUGACGCUGAUGAGCGAAAGCCAGGGGAGCAAACGGG
rnacentral:rRNA from 1 species